rnacentral:rRNA from 1 species
ACGCUGGCGGCGUGCUUAACACAUGCAAGUCGAACGGAAAGGCCCUGCUUUUGUGGGGUGCUCGAGUGGCGAACGGGUGAGUAACACGUGAGUAACCUGCCCUUGACUUUGGGAUAACUUCAGGAAACUGGGGCUAAUACCGGAUAGGAGCUCCUGCUGCAUGGUGGGGGUUGGAAAGUUUCGGCGGUUGGGGAUGGACUCGCGGCUUAUCAGCUUGUUGGUGGGGUAGUGGCUUACCAAGGCUUUGACGGGUAGCCGGCCUGAGAGGGUGACCGGCCACAUUGGGACUGAGAUACGGCCCAGACUCCUACGGGAGGCAGCAGUGGGGAAUAUUGCACAAUGGGCGGAAGCCUGAUGCAGCAACGCCGCGUGCGGGAUGACGGCCUUCGGGUUGUAAACCGCUUUCGCCUGUGACGAAGCGUGAGUGACGGUAAUGGGUAAAGAAGCACCGGCUAACUACGUGCCAGCAGCCGCGGUGAUACGUAGGGUGCGAGCGUUGUCCGGAUUUAUUGGGCGUAAAGGGCUCGUAGGUGGUUGAUCGCGUCGGAAGUGUAAUCUUGGGGCUUAACCCUGAGCGUGCUUUCGAUACGGGUUGACUUGAGGAAGGUAGGGGAGAAUGGAAUUCCUGGUGGAGCGGUGGAAUGCGCAGAUAUCAGGAGGAACACCAGUGGCCAAGGCGGUUCUCUGGGCCUUUCCUGACGCUGAGGAGCGAAAGCGUGGGGAGCGAACAGGCUUAGAUACCCUGGUAGUCCACGCUGUAAACGGUGGGUACUAGGUGUGGGGUCCAUUCCUCGGGUUCCGUGCCGUACUAACGCUUUAAGUACCCCGCCUGGGGAGUACGGCCGCAAGGCUAAAACUC